rnacentral:rRNA from 1 species
CACCGAAGCUGCGGCAGCGACGCUGAUACGUUCGUUGGGUAGGGGAGCGUUCUGUAAGCCUGUGAAGGUGUGUCGUGAGGCAUGCUGGAGGUAUCAGAAGUGCGAAUGCUGACAUAAGUAACGAUAAAGCGGGUGAAAAGCCCGCUCGCCGGAAGACCAAGGGUUCCUGUCCAACGUUAAUCGGGGCAGGGUGAGUCGACCCCUAAGGCGAGGCCGAAAGGCGUAGUCGAUGGGAAACGGGUUAAUAUUCCCGUACUUGGUGUUACUGCGAAGGGGGGACGGAGAAGGCUAUGUUGGCCGGGCGACGGUUGUCCCGGUUUAAGCGUGUAGGUGUGUGUUCCAGGUAAAUCCGGUUCACUUUAACACUGAGGCGUGACGACGAGGCACUACGGUGCUGAAGCAACAAAUGCCCUGCUUCCAGGAAAAGCCUCUAAGCAUCAGGUAACAUCAAAUCGUACCCCAAACCGACACAGGUGGUCAGGUAGAGAAUACCAAGGCGCUUGAGAGAACUCGGGUGAAGGAACUAGGCAAAAUGGUGCCGUAACUUCGGGAGAAGGCACGCUGACACGUAGGUGAAGUGAUUUACUCAUGGAGCUGAAGUCAGUCGAAGAUACCAGCUGGCUGCAACUGUUUAUUAAAAACACAGCACUGUGCAAACACGAAAGUGGACGUAUACGGUGUGACGCCUGCCCGGUGCCGGAAGGUUAAUUGAUGGGGUCAGCGCAAGCGAAGCUCCUGAUCGAAGCCCCGGUAAACGGCGGCCGUAACUAUAACGGUCCUAAGGUAGCGAAAUUCCUUGUCGGGUAAGUUCCGACCUGCACGAAUGGCGUAAUGAUGGCCAGGCUGUCUCCACCCGAGACUCAGUGAAAUUGAACUCGCUGUGAAGAUGCAGUGUACCCGCGGCAAGACGGAAAGACCCCGUGAACCUUUACUAUAGCUUGACACUGAACAUUGAGCCUUGAUGUGUAGGAUAGGUGGGAGGCUUUGAAGUGUGGACGCCAGUCUGCAUGGAGCCGACCUUGAAAUACCACCCUUUAAUGUUUGAUGUUCUAACGUGGACCCGUAAUCCGGGUUGCGGACAGUGUCUGGUGGGUAGUUUGACUGGGGCGGUCUCCUCCUAAAGAGUAACGGAGGAGCACGAAGGUUGGCUAAUCCUGGUCGGACAUCAGGAGGUUAGUGCAAUGGCAUAAGCCAGCUUGACUGCGAGCGUGACGGCGCGAGCAGGUGCGAAAGCAGGUCAUAGUGAUCCGGUGGUUCUGAAUGGAAGGGCCAUCGCUCAACGGAUAAAAGGUACUCCGGGGAUAACAGGCUGAUACCGCCCAAGAGUUCAUAUCGACGGCGGUGUUUGGCACCUCGAUGUCGGCUCAUCACAUCCUGGGGCUGAAGUAGGUCCCAAGGGUAUGGCUGUUCGCCAUUUAAAGUGGUACGCGAGCUGGGUUUAGAACGUCGUGAGACAGUUCGGUCCCUAUCUGCCGUGGGCGCUGGAGAACUGAGGGGGGCUGCUCCUAGUACGAGAGGACCGGAGUGGACGCAUCACUGGUGUUCGGGUUGUCAUGCCAAUGGCACUGCCCGGUAGCUAAAUGCGGAAGAGAUAAGUGCUGAAAGCAUCUAAGCACGAAACUUGCCCCGAGAUGAGUUCUCCCUGAGACUU